rnacentral:rRNA from 1 species
UACGGAUGGUGCAAGCGUUAUCCGGAUUCACUGGGCUUAAAGGGUGCGUAGGCGGAUAGGUAAGUCCGUGGUGAAAUCCUGCAGCUUAACUGCAGAACUGCCGUGGAUACUCUCUAUCUUGAAUAUCGUGGAGGUUAGCGGAAUAUGUCAUGUAGCGGUGAAAUGCUUAGAUAUGACAUAGAACACCCAUUGCGAAGGCAGCUAACUGCGCGAUCAUUGACGCUGAUGCACGAAAGCGUGGGGAUCAAACAGG